rnacentral:rRNA from 1 species
CUACGGGAGGCAGCAGUGGGGAAUAUUGCACAAUGGGGGAAACCCUGAUGCAGCAACGCCGCGUGAGUGAUGACGGUCUUCGGAUUGUAAAGCUCUGUCUUCAGGGACGAUAAUGACGGUACCUGAGGAGGAAGCCACGGCUAACUACGUGCCAGCAGCCGCGGUAAUACGUAGGUGGCAAGCGUUGUCCGGAUUUACUGGGCGUAAAGGGAGCGUAGGUGGAUAUUUAAGUGGGAUGUGAAAUACUCGGGCUUAACCUGAGUGCUGCAUUCCAAACUGGAUAUCUAGAGUGCAGGAGAGGAAAGUAGAAUUCCUAGUGUAGCGGUGAAAUGCGUAGAGAUUAGGAAGAAUACCAGUGGCGAAGGCGGCUUUCUGGACUGUAACUGACACUGAGGCUCGAAAGCGUGGGGAGCAAACAGGAUUAGAAACCCCAGUAGUCC